UCAGGCCUAACACAUGCAAGUCGAACGGUAACAGGUUAAGCUGACGAGUGGCGAACGGGUGAGUAAUGCAUCGGAACGUGCCCGGUCGUGGGGGAUAACACUUCGAAAGAAGUGCUAAUACCGCAUACGAUCUGAGGAUGAAAGCGGGGGGCCGUAAGGCCUCGCGCGAUCGGAGCGGCCGAUGUCAGAUUAGGUAGUUGGUGGGGUAAAGGCUCACCAAGCCGACGAUCUGUAGCUGGUCUGAGAGGACGACCAGCCACACUGGGAGUGAGACACGGCCCAGACUCCUACGGGAGGCAGCAGUGGGGAAUUUUG
rnacentral:rRNA from 1 species